AGGAAUGAUUCCCUGAUUUAUCUGAGCUUCCCAUCACUACUCCCGUUCUCUAUGAAUAUCAGCCCAAGUACCCAAGUAUCUUUUAAAGAAGAUCUAUGUGGAGUUAUUCUCAAGUGGACCUGACAUACUAAUAGGUCCUCACAGCGUACAAGAGGGAUAUACAGAAAAGAGCCAAGCCAAAGCCAUCUCAUGUGAGCAGAGAGGGAACUCUCUUGGGAACAUUCAUCUCCAUCUUUUUUCUGCCAUGGUCAAAAUGAAUACUUCCCAGCCAUUCACGUCAUGUGAUGUAGGCACAGGAACAGCUGUGGGGGAGACGCUCUGGAGAAGAUGGUGAGAAAAACACAGUAAGAAGCAGACCCUGGGGGUGAGCCCAGGGCAUACGCAGGAUCUAUGAAGGAUGGAGCAUUUUCUGAACAUUACCCACCCUUGUUUACUUCCUCUACCUUUGGUUCCCAAGGUCACAGCUGCGUCUGCUCAGCCCAUAGUUUAUUUACACGGCUUCUGUGCCUGUGAAUUGGACCUGCUCCAGGAACCCUGUGUUGGAUAGUGACUGGGAGCUGUCACUUGAUGUUUAUUGGAGCAUGUGUCACUGAUUCAGAGGAUAAACUUGAUGACAACAGAAGGCCCAGAUCUCACACCUCAAAAGAAUAAGGCUUUGAGAAUCAGAUCCAUAAGUAAAAGCCUUAACAAUGAUUGGAACCUCUGCAAUCUAUAAGAUGAAGUCAGACAAUGUACACCUACAAGUCUCCAAAUAAAAGAAUGCCUGCCUCGGGGAAACUCCAGUAUUCUUCAUUUGGGAACUGUCUAAACAUAAGAGCCCCUUCCUUCAUAUUGCGUACUAACGUCCUGGAAGGACAGAAAGGAGAAUAUUCAACACUCGCCUGCAGCAGCUUGUCCCUCCAGAACCCAUGACCCAGAUAACAUGCUGUACUACUGUAUUAGGGGAUAACUGUGUCCCGGUUGUCAUCCUAAAUUCUGGGUGUCCUUGGACAGCCACGGGGCUGCUGGAUAUCUGCAGAUCCCCUCUGUCCUCUUUAGCAAGCUGAACAUAUGGCCGCUUCAUUCCAGAGGAGCUGAUCAGAGACCUGCAGGCUGCUGCAAUCUAUAAGGACAGUCGCCCAUACAGGUGUCCCUGACUCAAAACUCCUUCAGAGCUAAACUACAAUGGUCAAAACAAAAUGGCCCUCUUUCCCAGUGCCCUGUCUCCAUUCAGCCACCGGCCUGAACCCUGCCAGUCUUAUUCCAGUCAUAAAAGAACUUCUGAUUCUGUUCCUCCGUGCUAUUUACAUAAUAAUUAUAACCCACUAUUUCAUGCUCUAAUGGUUUAAAAAAGCUUCAAACGUCUUCACCGCUUUUUUUUUCUCAGUCAAAUGAUU